rnacentral:rRNA from 1 species
AGAGCGAACGCUGGCGGCAGGCUUAACACAUGCAAGUCGAGCGGGCGUAGCAAUACGUCAGCGGCAGACGGGUGAGUAACACGUGGGAACGUACCCUUCGGUUCGGAAUAACCCAGGGAAACUUGGGCUAAUACCGGAUACGUCCGUAAGGAGAAAGAUUUAUCGCCGAGGGAUCGGCCCGCGUCCGAUUAGCUAGUUGGUGGGGUAAUGGCCCACCAAGGCGACGAUCGGUAGCUGGUCUGAGAGGAUGAUCAGCCUCACUGGGACUGAGACACGGCCCAGACUCCUACGGGAGGCAGCAGUGGGGAAUAUUGGACAAUGGGCGCAAGCCUGAUCCAGCCAUGCCGCGUGGGUGAUGAAGGCCUUAGGGUUGUAAAGCCCUUUCGGGCGGGAAGAUAAUGACGGUACCCGCAGAAGAAGCCCCGGCUAACGUUCGCGCCAGCAGCCGC